rnacentral:tRNA from 1 species
UGGGCUGUCGCCAAGUCGGUAAGGCACAAGACUUUGACUCUUGCAUGCACAGGUUCGAGUCCUGUCAGCCCAGCCA